UUGAAAGUCAUUCCUGGAGGGCAAGUGUCAACCUAUCCUCAUUGCAAGUGGCUGAAAGACCUAGAAGACAAGAAUCUUUUACAAUUUACAAGAGGUGGAAUAUGCAGGAAUAACUUCAGUGAUAAUAAGCAAGAUAUGUUAAAUAGUAAAAUCUCAAAAUGCUAUAGUCAGAAGCAGUAUUUUAGAUAAUCACAAGGAAUAAAAUGAAGUAGAAAAUAAGUUUACAUGAAUGGGGAGCCAUUCAUUCAAUCCCAUCUAGAUGCCACUCUUCCUAGAAAAAUGUAGAGCUCAACCUUCCCAUAGCUUCAGCUGUUCACUGUUAACUGGGAACCCCCAAGUGCUGGGAAAAACAGAUCCUUUUCCUAUCAUGUGGUAAGUAACUAGUGUCAGACAUUCUGUAGAGCAUACUGGAAGAAGAAAGUCUCUUUUGAAAUUGAGGGAAUACAGACACUAUAUCACGAUUGAACUGUGAGAAAUUUCAGACCAGACAUUUAGUAUUCUCUACAACCAUCCUAAGUUCAGAAUAGAUCUAACACAAGAACACAGAGGAGAAAUCAGCAGAACAUAGACAACAAAGGUGGAGACAAGUGGUCCAAUAAGGCCCGAGUCAGACCUGAUGAAGCAUCUUAGCUAAUGACCUAAAGAUAAGUUAUUCUGCUUGUUAUAUAUUCAUUUAUGUUGUUUGUUGAAUAUUGACCCAUACUAAUGGUGACAAUGGAAUAAAUGGAAUGUGGGAACUUGUUCAUAUUGCAAAAGUACUCAUUUUCAGUGAGCAACUUUGGCCACCUUUUACUGAGGAAUGAGGGACCUCAGAGUAGACACUUGACUUACCUACUGAUUUACACUAGGCCCUUGUCUUAUUGCAUUUUACUUUUCUUUUUCAUCCCCACCCCUGCUCUCAUCACCCUCCUUCUCUCCUAUAGACACCCACUCUAAUGAAUUUGAUACUUCUUAAAUAUGCAUCAGUGUAAAAAUAGUUUUGUAAGUACAUGUGUGUUCAAUUUGAAUAAAGGUUCUUAUGCCUUGUUUCUUCUGCUGCUUUUUACUAUUUCUUUUUGUCUUCUUUUUUCACUAUGUACUGUGCUAUUAACAUUUCUCUAUGUAGCUGUAUAUAUUAUUACAUGAUAGAUGCAUAUAUACACAUUAUAAUAUUACUGCAUAGCAUUCCACGGAAUGCAUUAUCCUCUUUUCAC
rnacentral:lncRNA from 1 species